UACAGAGGGGGCAAGCGUUGUCCGGAAUUAUUGGGCGUAAAGGGCUCGUAGGCGGUCUGUCGCGUCGGGAGUGAAAACUCAGGGCUUAACCCUGAGCCUGCUUCCGAUACGGGCAGACUAGAGGUAUGCAGGGGAGAAUGGAAUUCCUGGUGUAGCGGUGAAAUGCGCAGAUAUCAGGAGGAACACCGGUGGCGAAGGCGGUUCUCUGGGCAUUACCUGACGCUGAGGAGCGAAAGUGUGGGGAGCGAACAGG
rnacentral:rRNA from 1 species